CGCAGAGAGUCAAGCGCUCUCUGGACGCAAAAAAAAAAAAAAAAAAAAAAAAAAAAAA
rnacentral:ribozyme from 1 species